GUGCCAGCAGCCGCGGUAAUACGAAGGGGGCUAGCGUUGCUCGGAAUCACUGGGCGUAAAGGGUGCGUAGGCGGGUUUCUAAGUCAGAGGUGAAAGCCUGGAGCUCAACUCCAGAACUGCCUUUGAUACUGGAAGUCUUGAGUAUGGCAGAGGUGAGUGGAACUGCGAGUGUAGAGGUGAAAUUCGUAGAUAUUCGCAAGAACACCAGUGGCGAAGGCGGCUCACUGGGCCAUUACUGACGCUGAGGCACGAAAGCGUGGGGAGCAAACAGGAUUAGAUACCCUGGUAGUCCA
rnacentral:rRNA from 1 species